rnacentral:rRNA from 1 species
CAAUAAGCGGAGGAAAAGAAACUAACAAGGAUUCCCCUAGUAACUGCGAGUGAAGCGGGAAAAGCUCAAAUUUAAAAUCUGGCAGCUUUGGCUGUCCGAGUUGUAAUCUGGAGAAGCGUCUUCCGCGCUGGACCGUGUACAAGUCUCCUGGAACGGAGCGUCAUAGAGGGUGAGAAUCCCGUCUUUGACACGGACUACCAGUGCUUUGUGAUGCGCUCUCAAAGAGUCGAGUUGUUUGGGAAUGCAGCUCAAAAUGGGUGGUAAACUCCAUCUAAAGCUAAAUAUUGGCGAGAGACCGAUAGCGAACAAGUACCGUGAGGGAAAGAUGAAAAGCACUUUGGAAAGAGAGUUAAACAGUACGUGAAAUUGCUGAAAGGGAAACGCUUGAAGUCAGUCGCGUUUGCUAGGACUCAGCCUUGCCUCGGCUUGGUGCAUUUCCUAGUAGACGGGCCAGCAUCACUUUUGACUGCGGGAAAAGGAUCAGAGGAAUGUGGCACCCUCGGGUGUGUUAUAGCCUCUGGUUGUAUACCGUGGUUGGGAGUGAGGAACUCAGCACGCCUUACGGCGGGGCUUCGGCCACCUUCGUGCUUAGGAUGCUGGCGUAAUGGCUUUAAACGACCCGUCUUGAAACACGGACCAAGGAGUCUAACAUGCCUGCGAGUGUUUGGGUGGAAAACCCGAGCGCGUAAUGAAAGUGAAAGUUGGGAUCUCUGUCGUGGAGAGCACCGACGCCCGGACCAGACCUUCUGUGACGGAUCCGCGGUAGAGCAUGUAUGUUGGGACCCGAAAGAUGGUGAACUAUGCCUGAAUAGGGUGAAGCCAGAGGAAACUCUGGUGGAGGCUCGUAGCGAUUCUGACGUGCAAAUCGAUCGUCAAAUUUGGGUAUAGGGGCGAAAGACUAAUCGAACCAUCUAGUAGCUGGUUCCUGCC